GACGAACGCUGGCGGCGUGCUUAACACAUGCAAGUCGAACGCUGAAGCCCUUUCGGGGGGGGAUGAGUGGCGAACGGGUGAGUAACACGUGGGUAAUCUGCCCUGCACUCUGGGAUAAGCCUUGGAAACGGGGUCUAAUACCGGAUAGGACACAUCGCCGCAUGGCGUGUGUGUGGAAAGUUCCGGCGGUGCAGGUUGAGCCCGCGGCCUAUCAGCGGGUUGGUGGGGUGAUGGCCUACCAAGGCGACGACGGGUAGCCGGCCUGAGAGGGUGACCGGCCACACUGGGACUGAGGCACGGCCCAGACUCCUACGGGGGGCAGCAGUGGGGAGUCUUGCGCAAUGGGCGAAGGCCUGACGCAGCAACGCCGCGUGGGUGAUGACGGCCUUCGGGUUGUAAACCUCUUUCGACCGGGACGGAGGGUGACUGACGGUGCCGGUAGAAGAAGCACCGGCUAACUACGUGCCAGCCGCCGCCGUAA
rnacentral:rRNA from 1 species